UAGGGAAUCUUCCGCAAUGGGCGAAAGCCUGACGGAGCAACGCCGCGUGAGUGAAGAAGGUCUUCGGAUCGUAAAACUCUGUUAUUAGGGAAGAACAAAUGUGUAAGUAACUAUGCACGUCUUGACGGUACCUAAUCAGAAAGCCACGGCUAACUACGUGCCAGCAGCCGCGGUAAUACGUAGGUGGCAAGCGUUAUCCGGAAUUAUUGGGCGUAAAGCGCGCGUAGGCGGUUUUUUAAGUCUGAUGUGAAAGCCCACGGCUCAACCGUGGAGGGUCAUUGGAAACUGGAAAGCUUGAGUGCAGAAGAGGAAAGUGGAAUUCCAUGUGUAGCGGUGAAAUGCGCAGAGAUAUGGAGGAACACCAGUGGCGAAGGCGACUUUCUGGUCUGUAACUGACGCUGAUGUGCGAAAGCGUGGGGAUCAAACAGGAUUAGAUACCCUGGUAGUCCACGCCGUAAACGAUGAGUGCUAAGUGUUAGGGGGUUUCCGCCCCUUAGUGCUGCAGCUAACGCAUUAAGCACUCCGCCUGGGGAGUACGACCGCAAGGUUG
rnacentral:rRNA from 1 species